UCCAAUUUCCCAAAUAUCUCACAAACAAUCUCUCUCUCUUUCAACAAGAGCCGUCUCAGAAGAAAAACACAACUGCGAAGAAUAUGGCAACCGAUGAUGUGAACGAGUCCCUCCCGGCGGCGGCGGAAUUACCGGCGACAGAGGCGGAGAAACAACCACACAAGCUCGAAAGAAAGUGGAGUUUCUGGUUCGAUAACCAAUCAAAGAAAGGCGUCCCCUGGGGAGCUUCUCUUCGUAAAGCCUAUACUUUCGACACCGUCGAAGAUUUUUGGGGUUUGCGAGAGACUAUAUUCCAGACUAGCAAAUUGACAGCGCAGGCUGAAAUUCACUUGUUCAAAGCUGGUGUUGAGCCAAAGUGGGAAGAUCCAGAGUGUGCUAAUGGAGGAAAGUGGACUUGGGUUGUUACUGGCAGUAACAGGAAGGAAGAUUUAGACAAGGGCUGGCUUGAAACUUUGAUGGCUUUAAUUGGAGAGCAAUUUGAUGAGGCAGAUGAGAUUUGUGGUGUGGUUGCUAGUGUCCGCCCACAGGCGAAGCAAGACAAGCUCUCCUUGUGGACUAGGACUAAAUCAAAUGAAGCUGUUCUGGUAUGUCUUCUCACUAUGUUCAUAUUUAUGUUGGUGUUGGAUAUUCAUGAUUAUAAUUGUUGUUUUCUUCUAGUUGUGAAUUGUUGGGAUAUACGGAUUUAGUUUGGUUAUUGACGAAAAUUCUCAAUGCUACACAUAGAACUAACUAGUAGGUUUGAUGCUUAACUUGCUUUGUUUCCUGUCCUUGGGAGUUUUACCAGCUUCUGACGUUUGAGAUACUUCUUCUGCGAUAGUAAAAUAGUUUUGUUAAUGUUAAGAUUAUAUGUUGUGAGUUGUUUGAAGAUAAAUCUUGUAAACCAGCCGUUUAUUGUUCGUUAGUGUUAUAAACAUAGCUAUCUUUGUCUAUGUAAAUCUGAUUAGAACUUUGCAGUAUGUUAAGAUUGGUUUAUGAAUCUAUCUGAUGAAUAUACUACUUGUUGUUUGUUAUUGUUAUCCAGAUGGGUAUUGGGAAGAAGUGGAAGGAGAUACUUGAUGUCACCGACAAGAUAACUUUCACUAACCAUGAUGAUUCGAGAAGAAGCCGGUUCUCUGUCUGAAGAAACCAGUGGAGACCAGAGGAAGAUGCAAUAUGGCUUUUUCUGAUACUGUUUGGUUGGUUUACUUCAAUAGCUGAGACCUUUAGGGACAUUCACUUUGAGGUGUAACUCUACAAAGUUUUCUGUUUAAUUAAAAUGAUUUUUUGUUUUAAAUUAAGUUGAGUUAUAUAAAAUCUCUUUUGAAAACAUCAAUUUUUAGACAAUUUCGUAGCACACUAAUGCUAAUUUUUGUAUUUUUUUAUUGGGGAAUUCCAAAAAGUACCUUUGUUUUUGUA